CACGAGACUAGAGCCACAUCCUGACAGACAUUGUCCUGGUGUGCUAGCAUCCUUAGAGAGAAUCUGUUGGUUUUAAUUCAUUGUUGAGGGCAAUCAGUGUCCCUGGGAAUAGCCCAAUGAGAAACAUGC